rnacentral:rRNA from 1 species
UACAGAGGUCCCGAGCGUUGUUCGGAUUCACUGGGCGUAAAGGGUGCGUAGGUGGCGAGGUAAGUCGGAUGUGAAAGCUCGGAGCUCAACUCCGAAAUGGCAUUGGAAACUACCUUGCUCGAGGGUUGGAGGGGGGACUGGAAUACUUGGUGUAGCAGUGAAAUGCGUAGAUAUCUGGAGGAAUACCGGUGGCGAAGGCGGCAUCCUGGACCGGCAUUGACGCUGAGGAGCGAAAGCUAGGGGAGCAAACGGG